AGACAGCCUCCCUGGGCCUCCCCUCUAAUCUGAGCGUCAGUCACACUUGACAUCAUUCCUAGGUCCCAUCUACCCUCCAUCCCGGGCGAUGCCCUCAUCCCCUUUGGGACACAUGGAGGCAGCUUGGCCCAUUGUGUGCGGGAUUCUGGAGGACAGCACCACCUCCCAAAUGCUAUCUAUUUCCUGCUGGGAACCUGGCUGGGCCAAGGGCAGGAUUGCAGGGAGCCCCUACAGUUUCCAUGCUGGACCCUGCAGCUGGCCACUCUGCACGUCAGCUUUGGUGGCUCACAUGUGGAGGGCCAUGCCUAACUUCUGCCAGGCCACCUGGAGCACCUCAAGGCCACUGAGGCCAAACAGAAAGAGCCAGCUCCAAAGCUCCUGCCACAUCCAGAGCCAGAGCCAGAGCCAGAACCAGCCCCUGUGCUAGAGCCAUCUCCAGCUCCAGCCCCACCACCCGUGGCAGAGCUGGAGCCAGCGUCACCUGCAUCGGACCCUACAGGGCUGGAGGAAGGCGCACCAUUAACUUCAGCCCCAGUGCCAGCUCCUGAACUAGAGCCCACUGGACCCUGGGCUGUGACCACCGAAAACCAGCUGAGGGAGGAGAAGCCGAACAUCUUGGACUUCCCUCCCCGGCUGGUGGCAGAGCAGCUGACAAGGAUGGAGGCGGAGCUGUUUAAGAAAUUGGUGCCUGCCCACUGCCUGGGCUCCAUCUUGUCCCAGCGAGACAACAGGGACUGCGAGUACCUGGCACCCACCAUCGGUGACACUGUGGCACACAUGAACACCAUGACCAACAGUGUCAUCGCUACGUGCCUCGGGGCCCCGGGCAUGACAGCCCAGGAAAGGGCCAGGGUGGAGGAGCUGU